CCGCACUCGAUGGACACCGGGUCGUUGAAAAAGUCCAGACAGAUGGGGCAGUGUUUUAGAUCGUUCAACUCCCAGGAGGUCUGAGGACCAGGAGAUGCUCUAUGCCAACUCUUGGGGGAUCUGCUGAGUAGCUGUCAUCUAAGAUGCUGGGAAGGAGCAAAUCCUGUAGCUGCUGGUGCUGGAGCAGUUUCUGAUCCUCCUACCUGAUGAGGUCAAGACCAGGAUGAGAGAGCAAUGCUUAGAGAGUGGAGCUGAAGCUGUAGCUGUUGUGAAAGACUGGGAGAGAGGGUGAAAAAUAAGUUGUUUUUUUUUUUAAGCGGGAGUGAUUAAGAUUCUGCCUUUUGGACCCAGCUUGAAGACAGCAACCAUUUUGCUAUGCCAAGGAGCAUCCAUUAAGGCUUUCAACAAAU